rnacentral:ncRNA from 1 species
AAACUCUGGAGAAACUCUUUUAAAAGAGUGCCGAAGGUGCAAGGAAUUUUCCGAAUCUCUCAGGCAAAAGGACAGAGGAUG